UGGGGAAUUUUGGACAAUGGGCGCAAGCCUGAUCCAGCCAUGCCGCGUGCGGGAAGAAGGCCUUCGGGUUGUAAACCGCUUUUGUCAGGGAAGAAACGGUCUGUCUUAAUACUGCGGACUAAUGACGGUACCUGAAGAAUAAGCACCGGCUAACUACGUGCCAGCAGCCGCGGUAAUACGUAGGGUGCAAGCGUUAAUCGGAAUUACUGGGCGUAAAGCGUGCGCAGGCGGCUUUGCAAGACAGAUGUGAAAUCCCCGGGCUCAACCUGGGAACUGCAUUUGUGACUGCAAGGCUGGAGUGCGGCAGAGGGGGAUGGAAUUCCGCGUGUAGCAGUGAAAUGCGUAGAUAUGCGGAGGAACACCGAUGGCGAAGGCAAUCCCCUGAGCCUGCACUGACGCUCAUGCACGAAAGCGUGGGGAGCAAACAGGAUUAGAUACCCUUGUAGUCCCUGAGCGGGCUGGCAAGGCGCAU
rnacentral:rRNA from 1 species